AUUGAACGCUGGCGGCAUGCUUUACACAUGCAAGUCGAACGGCAGCGCGGGCUUCGGCCUGGCGGCGAGUGGCGAACGGGUGAGUAAUACAUCGGAACGUGCCCAGUAGUGGGGGAUAGCUCGGCGAAAGCCGGAUUAAUACCGCAUACGACCUGAGGGUGAAAGCGGGGGAUCUUCGGACCUCGCGCUAUUGGAGCGGCCGAUGGCAGAUUAGCUAGUUGGUGGGGUAAAGGCCUACCAAGGCGACGAUCUGUAGCUGGUCUGAGAGGACGACCAGCCACACUGGGACUGAGACACGGCCCAGACUCCUACGGGAGGCAGCAGUGGGGAAUUUUGGACAAUGGGCGAAAGCCUGAUCCAGCAAUGCCGCGUGUGUGAUGAAGGCCUUCGGGUUGUAAAGCACUUUUGGCGGGAACGAAAGGGACUGUGCCAAUACCACGGUCGAUGACG
rnacentral:rRNA from 1 species